UUGGAGCUGCGUUCUGUAGACCACGGGC
rnacentral:piRNA from 1 species